rnacentral:rRNA from 1 species
AGUGGGGAAUCUUCCGCAAUGGGCGAAAGCCUGACGGAGCAACGCCGCGUGAGUGAAGAAAGCCUUCGGGUUGUAAAACUCUGUCUUCGGGGAAGAAAAAAAUGACGGUACCCGAGGAGGAAGCCCCGGCUAACUACGUGCCAGCAGCCGCGGUAAAACGUAGGGGGCAAGCGUUGUCCGGAAUUACUGGGCGUAAAGGGCGCGUAGGCGGCCUAUCAAGUCAGAGGUGAAAACUAUGAGCUCAACUCAUAGCUUGCCUAUGAAACUGGUAGACUUGAGAGCAGGAGAGGGAAGCGGAAUUCCCAGUGUAGCGGUGAAAUGCGUAGAUAUUGGGAGGAACACCAGUGGCGAAGGCGGCUUCCUGGCCUGUUACUGACGCUGAGGCGCGAAAGCGUGGGGAGCGAACGGGAUUAGAUACCCCGGUAGUCCACGCCGUAAACGAUGGGUGCUAGGUGUAGGAGGUAUCGACCCCUUCUGUGCCGUAGUUAACACAAUAAGC